rnacentral:rRNA from 1 species
CCCGGGCCUUGUACACACCGCCCGUCACGUCAUGAAAGUUGGAGACGCCUGAAGUCGGUUCGCUAACCGUUUUACGGGGGCAGCCGCCGAGGGUGGGGCCAGCGAUUGGGACG